GAUGAACGCUGGCGGCGCGCCUAACACAUGCAAGUCGAACGAUUAAAGCACCUUCGGGUGUGUAUAAAGUGGCGAACGGCUGAGUAACACGUGGGCAACCUGCCCCUUUCAUUGGAAUAGCCACGGGAAACCGUGGAUAAUACCGAAUACUUCGAGACUUCCGCAUGGAAGACUCGAGAAAGCUCCGGCGGAGAGGGAUGGGCCCGCGGCCUGUUAGCUUGUUGGUGGGGUAACGGCCUACCAAGGCAAUGAUGGGUAGCUGGGUUGAGAGACCGACCAGCCAGAUUGGGACUGAGACACGGCCCAGACUCCUACGGGAGGCAGCAGUGGGGAAUCUUGCACAAUGGGCGAAAGCCUGAUGCAGCGACGCCGCGUGCGGGAUGAAGGCCUUCGGGUUGUAAACCGCUUUCAGCAGGGACGAGGCGAAAGUGACGGUACCUGCAGAAGAAGCCCCGGCUAACUACGUG
rnacentral:rRNA from 1 species